AGAUGAUUUCGCUCACAGUUGAUAACAGUGGCUCGGUGAAACAAGUUGGAGUUCUAUUUGAAAACGUGUAGAGUGUAUUGAUAGAAAAUGGGAAGAGUGUUAUUUUUUAUAUUGUUGGUAGUCAUGCUAACAGGGUUCAUCCAUUCCGCAACCACAAGCUGUAAAGCGAACGGCCACUAUUGUGUCGAACACAGUGAAUGUUGCUCCCGUAUCUGUAUGUUUUAUGCAGCCAAAUGUGUUUCUGGACCUUCCGGGCCUAUCACACCCCCCACCCAAGUCAAAUCCAGCCCAGCUCCAAAAUGUGCGAACAUCGGGGAAUACUGCCAGUACCACGAGGAUUGCUGUUCCCGAGCUUGCCAUUCCUUCCUGGCUAGAUGUGUUACAUGAACCGGGAUGAAAUUAAUCCAAUGGUUUCGAAUCAGGACCAUAGACUAUAAUGCUAUGCUUGAUUCCGGAAAUAAAUAUAUGCUUUAAAAACUGUUUAACAA